GCUGUCGAUGACGCUGAUGCUCUUCAGGACCUGAUUGGGGAGCUGUGAGCACAUGAAUCUGGAAGAGACGGAUCAAAGGAGGGGUCAGAAACUGGGCAUCACAGAGUGCUCCAACCAUGGGGCUUCUUGGCCUCUCUGGGCUUACUGACAUCUGUAAAGUGGGGGCCUGAAGGAGACUGACAGAAACUGAGGAUGCCUAAUGAAGUUGUUUGUGAAGUAGGAGCUUGGAGGAGAUUGAUAGCACCUCCAUCCAGCCACAGAGAACAGAUGCUGGCCCAUGGGACAGGUGGGAAAACUGGGGCAUCAGAGAGGCCAAGCGGCUUGCCCAAGGUCACACAGCGGAUGUUCGAGUGGAAAUGGAAUGCAAGCAUUCAGACUCCAGAACUUGCACUGUCUUCAGAAAUGGCCUCAAGUUAGUGGUUUGCUCAGGGGUGAAGAGCAAAGCAAAGUUCAGGGCCUCAUCCCAGGGUGUGUCACUUGGCAUGAGGGACGAGGACCCCCAUUUCCUCUCAGCUGAGGGGAAGAGCUCUCCACAAUGUCCCCCUGCACGGUCCUCUGGCUACCCUGACAACAAGGGCCAGCUCUCCCUACUCUCCCUGGAGUAAAGCUGGGCUCAGGAGGUGCUACCGUUUCAAAAUGUGUUCAGCUUUAAUUUUUAAAAUAUCUUCAAGAGUUUCUCCAUCAAAACCUCUGUAUCCCUAAUAGCCUAGAAAUGUUCGUGUUGAUCAAUUCUUACACAUUCCACACAAAUCUGAGAAAUGCUGGUAAAAGUUACUGUGAGGGAUGCCCACUCUGUGAAACUCCAGCCUCUAUGGAGUGGAUGCAGAGCGUGUGGACUCCAUAUACCCAUGGGAAUGUGGAAUUUAGGUUUUACAGCCCCUCUGGGAUCUCAAGGGUGAAGACAUUCAGCAGCGAGGCUGGAAUUCAAAGCCAGAUCACACUCUUGCCUCCACUCACGUCCAGUUUGAUUUUUACGCCCUGUGGCCUGGAUGGGGCUAUGUCUGGAGGCUGGUAUGACUGAGGGAGGAGAGACUGCUGGGGAGGGAGGGGCUUGGGAGAACAGCAGCCAGUGUCGCCCAGCUCCCCGCAGCACACACAGUUCGCAAUUCACGAAAAUGUGAGGUGCGGGAGUGGGUUUGAAGCUUGACAGGCACUUUGCUCCAGAAUCAGUGCUAAUAGCAACGGUGGGCUGGCCAAGACGGCCUACAAAAGGUCACACACACUGAUUAAAGGGAUGAACCAGACGAGAACUGCAGCGUGUGCUUUUUGGGGAAGAGCUCGGUGUGGAGCUCCACCUUGGGUGGCUCGCGGCAACACGGCCCCUUCUCGGCACCUUCACCAAGCCUGGCCAGGAGGAGGCCCUUCAGAUUCCGGGCCAGGGAGGUGAGCAUACGGAUAUCGUAGUUAAGCAGUGAGUCCCCCAGCUGGACAAUCACUCACACAGCACAGGUGUUGAAGUCAGACAUCACUGUCGAGGAGUGCCUGAAUUACUUUCUGAUGUUUCAUUCCUGUACAAGUACAGCAAAUCCCACUACUUUUGAAAUAACAGGGGUUUCAAGGAAAAAUAUAAAUGAAAAAAUUGUUUAAAGAAGAGCAGAUGUUUCCUACAUUCAAGUUUAUAUUGCAAUCGAAGCCAGAGUUUUCUAAGUAGCGACCCUACUGGACAGACCUUUAACAAUAAAUCAUUUUUAAAGUGUG